rnacentral:lncRNA from 1 species
UACAGCAUGGUGACCCCGCUAUACUUACAUGUAUACAUUCUUUUUUCACACAUUCUGUGUUCCAUCAUAGGUGACUAGACAGAGUUCCCAGUGCUACCCAGCAGGAUCCCACUGCUAAUCCACCGAGAAGGCUACAUUCUGCAUCUAUUUACCCCAAGCUCCCAGUCUCUCCCACUCCCUCCCCUUCCCCCUUGGCAACCACAAGUCUAUUCUCCAAGUCCAUGAUUUUCUUUUCUGUGGAAAGGUUCCUUUGUGCCAUGUAUUAUAUUCCAGAACUCACCUAAAGCAGUCAACAACGAAACAGACCUCUGAAGUCUGACAGACUUUGAGUUCAAAAGGGAGACAGUGAAAAUACUGAAGGAAUUAAGAGGGGGUAUGAACAGUUAAUGCAUAUUCCCUCAGAAAGGAACUAGAAAAUAUAAGGAGGACUCAAGAAAAACUAGAAAAUUCAUUUGCAGAGAUACAAACGGAGCUAAGGGCAGUAAAAACCAGGAUGAAUAGCUCAGAGGAACGAAUUAAAAAUGCUCUGAAGUAAAAGCAGAAGGGGUGGAAGGCAGAAGAAGAAAGGAAGAAAAAUAUAGGGAGAAGAGAAGACAGAGCAAGGCAGGGAGAAGGGAUGAUGAGAUGGGGAGAGGACAGAGAAGAGGAGGAUGGGAGCCCUCAGUUCAAGGCUGCUACAGCUUUGAGAGCUGGAGAGUAAAUCUAAGGAGAAGCAGAAGAUGUGUGAAGAGGACAAGUUAACCCUUAAGUAAAGCUGCACUUCUGCUGUCACAGCCAAAAGAGGGACUUACUCAAAUAGUCCACAAAUCUCUACCUUUCCAAAGAAACUUAAAGCAAUUUUAAGAAACAAGUUGUAUACAUUCCACAUCUCAGAAAAGACCUUCUGAGUCCAAGCAAAUUAACACGAAGGGACUCGAAGCUGAUUCCUCAGUAAAGGAGAGUGGCCGAUUUUCUACAAAUGCCAUGUUUUCUGCAUCUGUUUCUAUAAAAGCAAUGUUUUAUUGAUCCAAAUAGUGGACAAUAAAGGAGUUCUCCUGUCAAGUUUGAGAAAUUGUAGGGUUUAUACUUUUAUCAUUCUGACCUGCAGACUAACCUUUUACCCAGAAAAAAAUACUUUUCCCCUUGUUAAAGUUAAAUUCAGAAAGGAAGAAUACUGAUAGGAAACUGCUUCUGAGAAAUCCAUCUCACUGAAACGAAACACAGAAUCCUGAAAAGAUGUUUUAGAAUGUAACUUUGAUUUAAAAAAAAAAAUCAAUCCCUCUGAAGUAACAGGAACCUCUUACCUCCAAAGAGUAAUGCAAAUCCAACACUUACUUUAAGCAAGUUACCAACUUAAUUUUGGAAGUGGUCAAGGUCUGGUGACCUUUAGAGUUGGCUAAAAGACAGCCUUGCUUUGGCUUGGCAAUAUUUUUCAAAAAGUUAUUACGACUUUUACAUGGUCCAGGAAUCAGAGGAAAUUUUUAACAGAAAUUUAUUAUGUAACAAUUGAAAAUGCAAAGCACAUAAUUUUACUAAUUUCUUACAGGUUUUGAGUUGGAGAAUUAAAAUACUAGACAAAAUACAUAUACUAUGAAAUGAUAUUUCCAAGAAAUAUUAAAACCUUUACUAAAUAUUUAGAUUAUCUUCUGAUAUUAGGAAAACACUUAGGUAAUUACAGCAAAAGACAAUAUAAAAUAUUAUAGAAUAUAAAAAUACUAAAAUUAAAAAUCACUUAAUCCUUAAUUGUAGUAAGUACGGGUUUUUAAAAUAGCCAUUAAUGAAAAAAAUCAUGUAUCACAAAUUGUGCAGUGAUAUCAUUUAUAAUUCCAUCUACAAAAGCAAGCCGGAUGGAAAUCCUAUAAAAUUGGAUUGUAAUGAUCAAGUAUGGAAUAUAGUAAACUAAAUUCUUAUAAGAGUGACAGGGAAGGACCCAGAGGAAUACUAAGAAUAAAAACAAACAUACUCUCUCCAAAAAUUUGUUAGCUGACAGGAAGAAUCGAACCUCGAGCUCGAUGCAGUUAAUGUAACGCAAAUGCAAACUGGAGGCUGGCACUCGCCAUCUGCCUCGACGUGGACUGAAUCACAAGCUGCCGACUCUGCUGACCUUCAACACCCCCUGAAAGGAGCUCAGGGUGGAGAUAAGGAGUGAGGCAUUCUGUGCUCUGGGAAAAACUAACAGAAUAGGUCUUCAGAUAGGUACAUAUCUUCAGGAGAAUAUUUUAUGAGCCUAAUUCUUACAUAUCCUCAUAUCUAGAAAAGCACCAAAAUCCUUCAUGGUGACAUCUCUCCUCGUAACUAGCAGUAACCUUCACGAGAGCAGCAGGAACUUUCAUGAGACCAGCAAAAUGUGCACCUGACUCUAUGUACCUCCCCCUUCGCCAAAAUCGCAUAUAUACUGACCUUUCCCCAUAUCCCUUUGGAGUGGUUUCUCAGCGCUACCUGAAAUGCUGCCCCCUGGGUUAUAGUCCUCACCCUGACCCCAAAUAAAACUAAUGCACAACAUUUGUGUUGUGCUUUUUAAGCCAAAAAAAAAAAAAAAAAAUCACAUUCUCUUCUCCAUAACACACACUCCUUACUGAAGAAAGAAUUGAAGUGGGGGUGCUGUAAGACCUGAGAAGGGAAAGGUAUGAUUCUUUCCAUCAAAAUCCCCAUUGAAACCUAUCUGUAUACAGACAGUUUCACAAGACAGCACAGCAGUUUCACAGCAGCACGAACUUCAGGAAAUAACCAAAGAUGCUUUCUGAAUUCCAUUAAACACUCACAAAAAUCCUACUAUGUGUUUAUAAAGCUGUACCCUCUGCCUUCUUCUUCAGGCCUCCCACUCUGAAAGCGAUAUCUCUAAUAUUCCUAAUUAAAAGCAAAAGGAACCAUUGAUGAAAUACAUAAAUAACACUCUCUGAAAAAGAGAGUCUAGCCAUUUGUUUUUCUGACUAUGAAAAUGUAGCUUGUGUCAAGCAGCCAAGAUCCCUGCUGAAUCAGACCAUGAAAGGAGAGUCUUACUUGUAAUGUUACUUUUAUAUCUGCUUGUGGUCAGCCUCUCAGGCCUGGCUACUGAUCAUCAGUCCAAGGUGGAUUCCAUCCAUCAGUUACCAGGCACAUGAAACAGGCAGGGGUCAGCAGCCACCAUCGCAAUCAGCUGGGGACAAUAUGAGAUGUGCUUGUCCUUAUCAUGGCAGCUGGGCAAGGGCCACUCAGAGAGUGACCCCAGACCCCCUUUGAUGUCACAACGAAUUCACACCACACACACAAUGAUCAAGACGACCAGUCCCGCCAGCUGUGAGGCAAAACCACAGAGAAGCCAGAACAGCAAGCUGUGGAAACACCUGGCUGAUGCUGAGCCAAACAAAUUCUUAGGUGGCAACAUGGAGAAGAGAGAAUGUAUUCUUUAUUGAACACGCAUACUACAAGAAAACAAGAGGGCAAAAUGAUGUCUUAAAUGAAAUAACAAAUCAAUAAAAAUGCAGUCCUUUCUAUUUCAAAUAAGAAUCUCAGAGGAUUGUUCCCUGAUUCUGCAAUAAAAAAGGUAUAUUGCUCUGUGUUGGCACUGCAAUAUUAGUUUAUCUCCUUCAUUUCUUCCUAUUUCAGUGUAAGGCAAGGGAUCCUUAACAUUUAAAAAGAGUUGAUCCACGUGAUUUUUCAGUUCUCCACGUCUCGGUUUGUAGAGCUCCAUAUUUCAACAUUAGUUUAUAAUGGACAUUAGUCAGAUCGUGCUAUUCCUCUGCAGAACUCACAUCAAGUCCACUUUUCACAGAACAUCAUCAUCACAUAAAUAUUCCAGCACACCGUGUCGGUCUUCCCCAACACAGCUGUUUUUUAAAAAGCGGCUACCUUUGGGUGAAAAAAAAUUUCAAACUCCAAGUCUAUUUUUGCUAAAGAUGCAGACUUUUAGAGCAGGACUUCCCAAUAAAGACAGUGCUUUGGAGUUCCUGUCGUGGCUCAGGGGUUAACGAAUCUGACUAGGAACCAUGGGUUUGCGGGCUCGAUCCCUGGCCUUGCUCAGUGGGUUGAGGAUCCAGCCUUGCCAUGAACUGUGGUGCAGGUCGCAGA